CUUGUGCAAAAUUUCUUCGCGCGCUCGAGGACGACAGGAUUAAGGAAACAUAUCCUGACCUUGCCAAAUGGUUGGUGUCGUCCCUAUCAGAUGGAAGUAGGCCUUCAACAGAUGUCUCAGCAGACUUUGAUAGCCUGAUACCAGACAAAAAGACAUUUUUAGAGAAGAAUCGCGGUUCUCUUAUUAAGUCAGUGGAAAAACCUCAUACCCAUUCUAGACCAUCUGAAGGAGGAGGGUUUUCACUCUGAAAUGAUCUCUGAAGUGGAAGCAGAGAGGACUAAGG